rnacentral:rRNA from 1 species
GACGUAGGGCGCGAGCGUUGUCCGGAUUUAUUGGGCGUAAAGAGCUCGUAGGCGGCUUGUCGCGUCGUCCGUGAAAACCUGCAGCUCAACUGCAGGCUUGCGGUCGAUACGGGCAGGCUAGAGUUCGGUAGGGGAGACUGGAAUUCCUGGUGUAGCGGUGAAAUGCGCAGAUAUCAGGAGGAACACCUAUGGCGAAGGCAGCUCGCUGGGACGGUACUGACGCUGAGACGCGAAAGCGUGGGGAGCGAACAGG